UGAUGAUGAUAAUUAUCAUGUUCAUGAUGAUGGUGGUGGUGAUGAUGAUCACUAUCGCCACCACUAUCAUGAUGAUGAUGACUGACAUUA